CAGCAACACCCCCAGACUUGAAAAGAUCUGGCUCAUGCCAUCAAGUCCAUCUCUGGCUCUCAGGUUUCAAAAGAUUGUGACUUCCGUUCUGCUGGCUGACCCUCUCUCCAGCCUUCUCAGCUUGCAUAUCUCCAUGAAGCAAGCUGCCAUGUUGGCAAGACCUACGUGGCAAGGAUUUGAGAGCAUCCUCUGGCCAGCAGCAAGCUAGGAACCGAGGCCCUCAGUCCAACAACCAUCAAGGGACUGAAUUCUGCCAACAAACAUGUGAACUUGGAUGUGGAUCCUUCCCCAGGUGAGCCUUCAGACGAAAUGCCAACCCUGGCCAAAAUUUUGGUUACAGCCUUGUGAGAGAUUCUAAAGAAAGGACCUGGCUAAGUUGUGCCCUGGCUCUUGGCCCACAGAAACUGUGAGAUAAUAAAAGUGUGUUGUUUUAAACCAUGAUGUAUUAUGGAUUUGUUACACAGAAAUAGAUAGCUAAUACAACCUCUCUGUCUUCCUAGCUCAGCAUUUGGCAUAUGGAGUGGAAGUCAAGUGUCAGUUGAGUGUAUGAAUGAAUGAAUGGUGAUGGUAACAGGUAAACUCAUCAGGACCUAAGAAAGGCCUAGACAGGCUAGAUCCAAAGAGAGAGCUCUUUCCCAGCACCCACUGCCUGUAUA
rnacentral:lncRNA from 10 species